AAAUUAGCCAAUGUAAACCUUAUGUAUCACAAUAGAACAUUGUCCGACUUGCUUGCUUUGGACACAUCAGGAGGUACCCAUCGCUGGAGGAAGACAUCAUGAUUGGUGAAGUAAAAGGUCAGUGAGCGUGAAGGAGACCCUCGGUGAGAUGGAUUGGCACAACAGCUGCAAUGAUGGACUUGAACAUGCUGGUGAUCGUGAGGAUGCAAGAGGACCAGGCAAGAUUUCCUUCUGUUUUACAUAACGUCACCAUGAGUCAGAGCCAACAUGAAGGCAUCUACCUACCUACCUACCUGUCUAUCUAUCUAUCUACCUACCUAACUAUCUAUGAUUGUAUUUAAUCCUUACAGCAACCCUACGGCAAUUCUAAACCAUGUCUGUAAAUUCUUUGCCACUCCUCCCAUUGAGGGAUGGAGUCUGUAUCCUCUCCUCUUGAAUCUGGAGUCUGUGACUACUUGACCAAUAGAAUACAGUGAAAAGGAUGCUCUGCCUUUUUGGGGACCCAGGCUCUAAGAAAUUGAUGGCUUCCAUUUCCUGGUUCUUGAGAUGCUUGCUCUUGAAACCCAGCCACCAUGCUGUGAGGAAGCCCAAGCAACCAGUAGAGAGGCCCAUGUGGAGAAGACUUGAUCCUCAGCUCAGCAGAGCUCCAGCCACAGCCAGCACCAACUUGCCAGCCAUUAUGUUCCAGGUGCUCUACGUGGUGAGCCAGACCCCAAAACGAAGUCAGCCCCUGAGGGGAGGGACAACUCUGUGUCUAUCUCAUAGCGUCCAUCACUGGCACUGGUCUCUGAGCCACCCCCGGGGCCUGGGCUUCCUGCUGGAGAAGGAGGGACUUGAACCGUCAGCCAUCUUGCCACAACCCAUAUGAAGACAUCAUGCCUGAGUAGGCCAGUGAGGACAAGGCUGACUAAUGCUGCCUUGGUCAGUAAGCUGCAGCUGUCCAGGUACAGUGCCCAUUUCUCCAGCCUCCAGAAAAUCGAUGUCCAGCCUCCAGCAAGAAGGAAGGAAACUAUAAUCAGGCUACUCUGAUGGACAGAUUGGCAGACACAGGCACCACUCGGAGGAGGCACCAGGGAUCCCAGAAGAUGUAGGAGCUGGAGUGUUCCUGGUUGAAGAGCUGCAGUUUAUCAAGAACUUCCUGUGUGCCAGGCUGAGGAUCAGACCGUUGUGACG